rnacentral:pre_miRNA from 2 species
GGGCUCCGGAUGUAGGACGUGACAGGUGCAUUAUUUGCUGAUUUUCAAUGUCAAAUUGCACUUGUCCCGGCCUGCAGCUUACCGCCC